rnacentral:rRNA from 2 species
UACGUAGGCAGCAAGCGUUGUUCGGAAUUACUGGGCGUAAAGAGUGUGUAGGCGGUGCUGUAAGUUUGGUGUGAAAUCUCCCGGCUUAACUGGGAGGGUGCAUCGAAAACUGCAGUGCUCGAGGGUGGGAGAGGUAAGCGGAAUUCCUGGUGUAGCGGUGAAAUGCGUAGAUAUCAGGAGGAACACCUGUGGUGUAGACAGCUUACUGGACCACUUCUGACGCUGAGACACGAAAGCGUGGGUAGCAAACAGG